rnacentral:lncRNA from 1 species
GGGGUUCCUUCUUUUGAACCCUAAACUCACUAUUUGAUCAAAAUCAGAGGGAAAACAAGCUAGGAAUUUGGGGCUUUUACUAAAUUCGCGAUCACCAAGACAAGGGGGUUGUAAGGUAUGUCGAAAAUUAUGAUAUGUUUGAUCCCGUCAAGCUAAGAGGGAGCUGGCAAGGAAUGGAUCAAACGGGUCAAGUGCAUAAGGAAAGCUCGAACGGACGCAAACUGUAA